AUGGAAACGCACAACCAGGGUGUAUCACUAUGAUUGAUAUCUCCAUGGUGAUGAUUCAAAGUACCGGCUUUCAUGAAGUGCUUGCUAUGCAGUCCAGCACGGUGUGUGCUCUGUGGGGACACCUCCAGAGAGCUAUCGAGUCUAAAUGCAGUGUAGAUGGUUUAGGAGGCAGGUUGAUGAAAGCUCUCACUGAUAUUUCAACGCCGGAU